rnacentral:lncRNA from 1 species
UGUGCAUUGCUCUAUGCAGCAGCACCAGAUCACUCAGUUCAAUGAAAAAGACUACGGUUACAAUUUGGACCAAAGUCAUAUUUUGAAAUAUAAAAGUUCCUAGAUUUUACAUAUAUUUUAAGUUCUAUCCCAGGGCUUCAGUCUGUAAGUAUUUAAAGCACAGAGUGCUUAAUUCUCUGAGACAUAAUUUCCCACUUGCAAAAAUUUAC